GCACAAUAUCAUGAGUACAAUAAUAUUAUUUUAUACAAAAUUACAUGACCUACAAUAUUCAUAAACUACUUAAAUACAUAAAUUAACUGGACUCAAUAUGUCCACUGAAAUUAAAGCACUCACAUAAUUAGCUGGAAGAGAGGGAGAUGCCUAGUAAGUAACCAUGCCAUCCUGAAUAGCAAUACCUGCAUUCACGAAAGAGAUGCAAUGCCCCGGAAAAAGGAACGCGAGUAUACAAUAAAAAGUACUCUGUAUGCAUAAUCAAUUCUCUCACAUAUAAUGGGACAAGACAUAUAAAGCAAACAUGGAGAGACAAUAUACAAAUUCAAAACAAUAACAGUUUCAUUUCAUAAAAUAUUUAAACGUUUGAACUUUAAACAAACUACUAUACGUUUAGUGGGAAGUAUAUUAGUCACCUACACAAUCAUUAAACCAUGAUGCAUACGAUAUGAAGUCCAAUCUCGACCAAUUGACUAACCCAUCUCAUCACAAUAUUGUGUGGUACAAUAUUUAUAUGCUAGCGUUUUAUUAAUCACAACUAAGAAAGACUAUCUAAUCGACCAAACCAAUGGGACGACUAUAUUCCUACACCUACACGGGUAGCUUUGGAUAUUGGGUACCUUCGGCCAAUAUCUUCUUGGUUAUAUAAUAAGACCCAAAAAUAUUAUAUUUCAUUUGGCACCUUAGGCCCCUUUCUUAAUAUUUGGCACCUAUGACACUUGAGCAAAAUCUCUCGAGGCCCAUAAUUCAUAAAUAAAAUCUUUAAACUUAGACUCAAUAGCGAAUGUUUCAUUUUAAACUCAUUUUCAUAACCAUAAUUAUUACAACAACAACAACCAAGUAAGAUCCCACAAGUGGGGUAUGAGAAGGGUAGAGUGUACGCAAACCUUAUCUCUACCCCGGAGGGGUAGAGAGGCUGUUUCCGAAAAUCCCUCGGAUCAAGAAGACGAAAAUAAACAAUAACAAUAGAUCAGUGACAAUAACAAAAGUCAGAAAACUAAUAUCAGCAUUGUAAGAGAUAACCAUAAUUAUUAUUUUUUGAAAACCAUAACGUCGUAUUCAAUUCUUUUGAAAAUUAUAGCAUUAUGUUCAUUUGGAGUAUUGAAAACAUUUAUAAUCAUAUCAUCUUGUGAAAUAUAGCAUUCGAAACCAUAUAUAUCAUUUAAGGAUAUAUGGAUAGUGUAUAAUUACUUGUCACCUAAAAUUACACAUUAGCAAUUUAAAGGCCAUUUGGUCACAUAGUCACAUUUAGAAGACCUGAAGUUUUGGAAAGAAACAAUUCUAUGGAAAGGAGUGCAACUCAACCUAACUUAGAUUUUCUUCUUGCUAACAAGAGUUUAGCGGCAUUAAUUUCACUAGUGAUCAUCGAACUAAGUAUUAAUUUCACAAAAGUUACUCAACUUUUAUUUGUCACUUUAAAAUAACUCAACUUAUAGAUUGUAACUUUAAAGUCAUUUUGAUGGUUUCUCCCACAUAUAUCCAUAAACAAUCUGACAUGGCAACAUAAAAUCUGGUAAUGGCUUUUUAAAAAUGCCACAUCAGCUUAUAAGAACUCAUUUUUUUGAUAUAUGGUGAAACCAUCGGCUUCACCGAUUUUAAUGUCUGAACCGUGACCCAUUAUACAAAUGGCUGGGUCAAUAUAAAACGAACCCCAUCCAUUCAAACCAAAAGAUGCCCUGGGUUCUCAUUCUUACUUCUCUUUCCUUAGACAAAUUAAGCAUGCUCUAUUAUGCAUUUUAAUUGUGAGUGUUGCUUAUUAAGCUUUUUUUUUUUAAUUAAGUAUUUUGACAUUAAAGAAAUAGCAUUUUCGCAAAUGCUUCUUAUUAGUUACAUAUUGUGCUCCUGUAUUAACUAUUUCAAAUUGAGCAAAGGGUUCUAACUGUCAAAAUUAACUACUUUUAAUGAAAUAUGUUUAAUGAUAAAAGUAGAUAGCACAAUGGAAUAGAGAAGGAGAAGUGAAAAGUUGGUAAUCGGUUGGGAUUUGAUUUAUAUAACACAAUGGGUUAAUGGGUAAUGGGUCGGUAAAUAGGGACUCGUAAAUAAGAGGAAGGGUUGAUAUGAGAUAAAAUAAUAAAAAUGGGUCCUUAUAAGUUGAUGUGGCAUUUUAAAAAUGAUCCUAUAUUGCCAUGUUAGAUUUUUCAUGUAAAUACGUUGGAAAAACCACCAAAAUGACUUUAAAGUUAUAAUCUAUAAGUUGAGUACAAAUAAAAAUUGAGUGAUUUUUGUGAAAUUAAUACUUAGUUGAAUGACCACCAGUGAAAUUAACCCGAAUUUCAUGUAUCUCAAUUGACUCUACAAGAGUUAAUCUACAAGUUACAAUAGAUACUUGUCAUAAUUCGGAUCUGUAUAAGUCCAAUUCAACUCAUAAUAAUACUUGUUCUUUCAUGUAGGGAUCUAUUCUUGUGUAACAAUACUAUUUCCUCCAUUUAUGGUGUUAAAGAACUCAAUACAUAUGAAACACUCAAUUCUAUUAUUUACCUUAAACCAAUAUUAUUCCUCAUCUUCUUCACUAUAAACCGUAGCUCAACAAUAUUUAUUUCAAGAACUAGUAUUAUUCCUCAUAUAAACGGUGUUUUCUACUUUACAACACCUUCAACAUCUCAACAAUAUUUAUUUCAAGAACUAGUAUUAUUCCUCAUAUAAACAGUGUUUUCUACUUUACAACACCUUCAACAUACUUAAUCCAUAGAACUAGUAUUAUUCGUCAUACAAAUUGUAUUUUCAACUUUACAACAGCUUUUAAAUACUUAAUCUAUAAUCAUGUUCAGGUGUGAGAUGAAGAAAUUACCUCUUGGUAACCAAGUCUUAAAUUUCGAAUUCCAUGGUGUUCUAGGCUAUAAUGAAGAUUCAAGCAAGAAUCUAUAAAUCUACUUAAAAAUACCAUUAAAACUCACCUUGGAGUGUAUCUGGUUUGGGAUGCUCCACCUUCUCCCCAGUCCCAAAAGUUGUCCAAAACAUAUGCUCCUUUCUCUCUCUUCGUAGCCCAAAAUAUAGAGGCCAUAGGGCAACUCUGGAGGCAACUAUUGCCAUGGUUGGCCUGGAGCCUCAGGCCUUCCCUUUCACUCUCUGCUGAAAUUUGCCACGAUUGAAAUCAUUUACCACGGUUGAUGCUAUGGUUGGAUCUGUUUGCCGCAAUUGGCUCGGGUUUCAGUUGGCUAUUUUGCUACCUUUGGUAAAAGGUUCAUAACUUCUUAUAGUAAUGUCCAAAUAACAAACAGUUUCAAGCUUUUAAAAUCCUUUCGCUCUCUUUUAACAAACAGAGAUUUUAUUUGAUAGGUAGUAAUAAUAUAUUUGACCAAACUUUUAAAAUCUGUUUAUUUUGAAAAGUAUUUUUUCUCAAAAGAAAUAAUAUUUUUCUACUUCUCAAAAUCUAUUUGUCCUUCUACUCAAAAAUAUUUUUUCUUUCUAAAAACUUGGUCAAACGCCUUAUCUUUGAAAAAAGUACUUUUGACCAAAAAAAAGCUUGGUCAAACAGGCCAAAAAGAAAUACUUUUUUCCUUUUAAAAGCUUGGCGUUAAACACCUUUAACUUUGGAAAAAAAUACUUUUUGCCAAAAAGAAGCUUAGCCGAAUAGGCUAUGAAUAAGAUAACUCUUUUGAGUAGAAGUAUCGAAAACUAGACUCAUGGAGAUUAUAUUUGAUAGGUAGUAAUAGUAUAUUUGACCAAACUUCUAAAAUUAGUUUAUUUUGAAAAGUACUUUUUUCAAAAGAAACUACUUUUUUCUGCUUCUAAAAAACUGUUUGUGCUUCUAUUCAAAAGCAUUUUCCCUUCUAAAAGCUUGGUCAAACACAUAAACUUUGGAAAAUAAUACUUUUCGCCAGAAGGAAGCUUGGCAAACAGGCUAUGAAUAGAUAACACUGUAUAUCUUAGGAGUUGUGCUCGUUUGAAGUUAGAUCUUGUGACUUAUUUGAAACUUUAUUCCACUGUGUAAUUUUCAACUUGGCUUGGUUCUAGAGCUCUCCUUAGACUCUAAAUUACACAUUGUUUACACUAAUUAUCAUGAUGAAGUGAUAUGAUAUCAGUUCAUAGCCUCAUUUGGCAUGCAGAAUGUUAUCUUUAAUUGUCGUUGGUGUACUUUAAAAUUUUUAAUAGUCUCCUCAAUUAUAGUUUUCCACAUAUCUUUAGAUUGAACUUGGCGAAGAAACUUGUAAAAACUUAUUUGAAACUUUAGUCUACUAUGUAGUUUCUAUUAUGACUUGGUUCUAGGGCUCUGCUCAGACCCUAUAUUACUUUCAAUACAUCUUUUACACUUAUUAUCAUGACGAAGUGAUAUGAUAUCAGUUUAUAGCUUUCUUUGGCACGCAAAAUGUUAUCUUUAAUAGUCGGUGUACUUUAAAUCUUUAAUAUCCUCCUAAAUUGUAGUUUCCCAUAUAUCUUUAGAUUGAACUUGGCG
rnacentral:lncRNA from 1 species